UCAAGAUGAGAUUUCCCAUUUCUUCGGAAAGUAAGAUCCCUGAAAGAUGAUCAGGUAGAUAGGUUUGGAGUGGAAGUGUAGCGAUACAUGGAGCGGACAAAUACUAAUCGAUCGAGGACUUAACCAAAA
rnacentral:rRNA from 1 species